ensembl:lncRNA
AGUUUCUACCCUUCCUUUUCCAAUAGGUCCUGGCAACUGAGCCUUUCAAGCGUUUUCCGUGAGUCCUCUGUCAUGGCUAGAUCUCAAGUGAAAAUCACGGAGAAAGUGUACUAGGAGGUGGGACUGUGAAUGCCAAAGUAUUCUCUGCUCUUCCUGUCCUUCCUGCAGAUGUGGAGCUUGUUCUGGGCAUUUUCCAGACAGCCUGUCUGCUGAGGUGCAAGGGCAAGGUGAAAAAUAUUUCCCAACAGACAAGUGGUCAGUGUUAGGUGAACUCCCCUGUUUCUUGGAAUGAAGUCCAACUAGGACGGUGAUAGGAUAUUGCAGAUGUUUCAGACUGACUGGCCUGCAAAUCGGGCCGUGCCAUUGAAAUGAGCUCUGUGUGCCUCAGAACAGCUGCAGCUGCAGAACAUGGCCUCACCUACAAGGUUGCUUUUCGAAUAAACUCCCAGUUGAAUUUCUCAGUGUGUGCCUGAAGAUCCGGGCUCUUCUUGGGUGAAUGCACGUUCUGUGGCCUUCUGUGUUGAGAAACUCAAGCAGCCAAAUCUAAAAGCUGCAGGGGAGAUAGGGAAGGCUGUGAUUCUAAAGUUGUUGUGUGCCUUUGGAGCAGAAGGGAGAAGAGCUGGCAGCUGGCUUUCUAGCAGUUGCCUCCUGCCGAGGAAUGGCAGCGGGACACUUUUCCCAGACAGAUGAAUAAGUACGGGAGAGCUCAGUAGACAAGGAAUUGGUUGUUGCAAAGCUUCAGAACAUGUGGGGAAUUUUCUCCUUCUCACCCUACUUGGGAGGAUGGGAGCUUCUGUCUCCCUUGGGAGAAGUACAGUUGCUGCCAAGGGAAACACCCCUGAGGAGCAGUAGUGACCCAGCCUUCCCUUUGCUUCCUUUCUUCUUCCCUCCCUGCUGCACAGCUCCUUGGUGCCAGAAGCGCAGUGCUGCCUCACCUGAGGAUUCAGAGCUGCCUCCAGGCCCUUCCAGGACAAGUCCAGAUAUUCAAGGGCGUGAAGCUUCCCCAGCAGCUGCCAAGAAAGUGUUUGCUGCAUCUGGACUUGGGGUUUCAUCAGGCCAGCCAGGCACACUCAAAUUUCAAUCCCAGCCAGAGCUCAUGACUCCACCAUUUCCUGCGCACCAUCAAAGCACUUCUGCGGCCUCUCCAGAGAGCAGCAGCUGCACUUCUCCAGAGCAGCACUUGCCAGCCAACAUCCCAUCAGCUGCCCUGGGCACUUCAGUCCCCAGUGCUCCAGCUGGCAGUGCUGGUUAUGCAGCAUGGAGAGCCCCAAGCUGGGUCUGGAGUACUCCUGGGGAAGAGGAAUUGCCACCGCUGGAUCUGGACCUUGUUCUGGAGACACUGGAGGAGAUGCUUUCACCAUCUGUGCCUGAAAGGUCUCCCUCUGCUCAGGUAACUCCAUUGGACAGGGAUGAGAGGGGCUGGACUGAGAGCUUCUGAAUGUUGUUGCAUGGCUGAGAAGCAAAGGCUUCUUGAAUUCAGCUGGGAAUGGACACGGAAGGAUUUGCUUGUUCAAGCAAGAUUUGCUAAGGAAGAGGGAAUGAAAAGGGGGGAUAGCCCUUAAGUGAGGAUGAGAGGUGUUUGCCAGGUUUGGAUGCUCCUUUUUCUGGGAAGAAUCCCUGGUGCAGGGGCAUUUGUGCGGAGGAGGUGGAACCUUGGUGGGUUCUAACAGGCUUUGUUUGAUGGGAAAGAAGAGAAGAGCGUUUGGAGAAUUGCCACUGAAGGCAGCUGGACCUUGUUCUGGAGACACUGGAGGAGAUGCUUUCACCAUCUGUGCCUGAAAGGUCUCCCUCUGCUCAGGUAACUCCAUUGGACAGGGAUGAAAGGAGCUGGAGUGAGAGCUUCUGAAUGUUGUUGCAUGGCUGAGAAGCAAAGGCUUCUUGAAUUCAGCUGGGAAUGGACACGGAAGGAUUUGCUUGGUCAAGCAAGAUUUGCUAAGGAAGAGGGAAUGAAAAGGGGGGAUAGCCCUUAAGUGAGGAUGAGAGGUGUUUGCCAGGUUUGGAUGCUCCUUUUUCUGGGAAGAAUCCCUGGUGCAGGGGCAUUUGUGGGGAGGAAGUGGAAGCUUGGUGGGUUCUAACAGGCUUUGUUUGAUGGGAAAGAAGAGAAGAGCGUUUGGAGAAUUGCCACUGAAGGCAGAGUGGGAGGGGCACACGAGAGGUGCCAGCAGCAGAUGUGGGCUCUGCCUCUCUUGGGCUGGAAGGCCAAGGCAAAGCAAGGGCUGGGCUGCAGCUGCUCCUACAGCUGCAGCUGCUGCUGUGUGAGCCCUGCUGUGCAUGUAGACAUUCCCAGAGCUGUGUGUGGGGAUGGGCUGGAGCUGCAGCUGUCUUGCCCUCUCAGGAACCUGGUGCCUGCAGUCCAGUUUCCAUCUGGGAAAUGCUCUGCGGGGCAAACUGGCCAGUCUUGCUCUCCAUGUUCCAGAGCUCAGUCACCUUGUGGAAAG